CGGGACGGGGUGGAGGUAAUGCUUGGGAAGUCUGGCUUAUGGAGGGGGAUAACUACGGGAAACGGUAGCUAAUACCGCAUAAUAUCGAAAGAUUAAAGGGUGGGACGUUUCGGGCCACCUGCCAUGAGAUGAGCCCAAGUGGGAUUAGGUAGUUGGUGAGGUAAAGGCUCACCAAGCCGACGAUCUCUAGCUGGUCUGAGAGGAUGACCAGCCACACUGGGACUGAGACACGGCCCAG
rnacentral:rRNA from 1 species